CGAGAGGCACGGCCUCGGCCGGGCUGUACUGGACUGCGGGCGUGGAGGGAGGCUGUUAUACGGGCCCGGGAGACAAAGGGCUCGUUCCGCGGCCGAGGUGCUGGAAACGCGCGUGAGUAGGCUCAAGUGUCUCCCAGCUGCUUCCUGGAGGAUGACACCUGAGACUGCGGGCAGGAGUGACAUCAGGGCUGGUAUGCACAUGAGGAAGCACCUCACCAAAUCUUGCAAGAAAACCCCUAAAAUAACGUGCCACCAUGGAAUUAAGAGAUCUAAGUGAUGUCUAAAGCUGCUUAGGUAUCCUUUGGAUGGUGCUUCUACAGAAGCUAGGGAAAGGCAAACACAUUAUAAGAAUGAACAAACAGGAAAAUAUAACUACACUCUUAAUACCUACAGAACUUCCUCUGAGAACAGUGAUGUAACCUGCGCAGGAUAAACCCAGCUGUUGCAUGGAGGACUGUCUUUCAUUUCAAAUUUGGCUAAUUUUUUGUGCUGUUUACUCUGAACUCUUUAAAUAAACAAUUAAUAACACCGUUGAAGAA